ACAGAGGGACAAUGUCAGGGUCUAUACGCCUGUUAACAUGCCAGUAUCAGGUAGCCUAACCUGGACACACACAACCUACACUUACAAUGAAUACCACUGAGAAGAUGGGACUGUGUACCAAAGUCUAGGUCCCAGUCAAGCUAACAUUUCCCAGUAUCAGGCUUCACUCAUUCAUCCCCACUGAGCCCUCAACGGGACAUUAAUGGCUCUACACAGUAGUCUAGGAAACAGAUCCGACAGAGGUUAGUUUGCGUGGCUCUCUACAUAGUCAGAUUGCGUAGACUGAAACCACUGUGGAGAGCCCUUCAGAUGACAUAGAUUACAUUUUCUUAAAUGGAUUUGAUCCAAGCAGGUUUACAGCAGUGACAUUAAUGCAAUCUUGAAAAAAUAAUUAAAAUACUCUGCACGUUAGGCUCCAGUUAUGAUAUGAAUUAUAUUGUAACUUGACCCAUAUAAAAGCAUGUCUAAUGAGGUGCUCAGAGUAUGAUCAUUGAGCAAGCAUUCAGUCUACUGAGGCAAGAUAGCUACCACCUAUCAGACCACAUGCAUAAGAUUGGGUGCAACUAAACUAACAUCCAUUAUUGCAAGGACUGAGUGGAGGGCGAAAAGAGGUUCUCUCCUUAGUUUAUUUAUAAGGGUUUGGAUUUUUAAAAUUUUUAAAUGCUGUUUCGUCUGGAACAUCUGUUGUUUAUUGGCCUCUGAAGUGUCAGCUUGGCCGUGCUUUAGUUAUUUAGGGCCCCAGAGUGUUGAGCAUAUACAGGUCAAAGGUCAACGCUGUGGAUUCUAAUGCAUUUUUCUACUAGACAUGUUGGAAAGAAAGUCUUCUCAUUGAGGCCAACAGUGGGUCCUAAGAAAAAGCAGCAAGUUAACUAACCCUAUGGUCGUCUCUGGACGGUCUCGGAGGCGAUUCCAGGAGAGCAGAGUCAAUAUGGUGGGUAGAACGAUGUCUCACUAAAGUUUACGUAUGACCGCUUGUGCGACAUAACCAUUUCUGAAUCCGGACGACUAACAACAGGUCAAUAGAAAAUAUAUAUUUUUAACUGCAAACAAGAUUUACCAUGAAAGUAAAACAGGGACAAAGAGAUAAAACAUGAGUGAGGCUUACGAAGCCAAUGAGCACAAGUCAUGUUAACAUAUUGCACAGUGCAAAUAACAAGCACCACAUCUGUACGCUUAACAUCCCAGUGACAAAAGCUAUUAAAUCAACAGAAAGAAAAAUGAUCCGCCCAGUAGUCCCAAUGCUGUAGUUCCACUACUGCACGGAACACUUGUAAAUGGUCAUCUAAUUAUCGCCACACCGAGCUGACGAUGGGGGAAUAUGACAGUGCCAGUCACAAGGUCACAUGACUUUCCCAGGAUAUGGAGCCUUUUCUCAUUAUCUGUGUCAUCCAGGAACAUCUGGCCCAGAUUAGGCCCAUGUAAAUGUGGCUCUUGGUACGACCGGGCAAUCUGCUGCAGCAUCGCACAAACGCCCGGCCGGCGCACAUGCACGCACACAAACAAAAAGGGGAUAGGGCAAAACCACUAUCUGAUAGAUAUAUGUAUCUAUGAGGCUUUCUGUUUCUCAUGGAUAUUAAGCAAGCCCAUUGUUAGAUGCUGUUUAAAGAUUUCAGACACAGGCAGGGUGGGAACCAAUCUAGUCAAAAUAUACCAUUUGAGACAAUUUGAGUAAAGUCCCACACCAACUGUGGAUUCAGUACUAUAUUCCCAAACGCAUUACGCUUAACUACAGUCAGACCUUGAGGUAACAUUUGGUCAUGGAAAAUACUUGAAUGACCUGAAGAGACAAAUCUUUUGAAAGGCUUGUUGUUCGGUCAGCAUUGGGGUCCACCUAAACCUCACUCACGGAGCUGUUUAAGAUAUAGCGCUAGUAGAUCGGAGGGGAAAGAGAAUUUCGGCUCAAAAUGAUCCUGAACAAUGCUGCUUGUUCCAAUGAGCUGUUCAUGGAAUCCCCAGACAGGAAUCCCCAGACAGUCCUCCAGCCACGUGAAGGCUGCUCCAUUCCAUCUCAUUAACCUUUUUCUACUAAAUCUGACCUGAUGAAGGCUCAUUGAAGGUUCACUCAUCCUGCUUUCUUCAGUGGUGUGGACUCCAGUGUUUUGUUGUGGGUGGCUGUGAGAGAUGCCGUCCAAUGUGACAAUCAUCUGGGGGGAGUUAUUGUGUCCAGCGUACCAAUUCUAGCACAGACGUCCAACAGGUUGUGGUAGGAACACAUUUUGGUAUGAACAAAUAUGGAACGGGUACGUGUGUCAAAUACCUUGUGUUCAGGCCUGUAAAUAUACAGUGCAUUACAACAUUCUGUAAAGAUCUAUCAGUUAAAGUAAUCAAAACACUAGGAACCAUUCCUUUCGAUAUCUAUUCCUUUACUGACUAUGACACUCAAUAUUCAUUCUGCACAACAAGACGACGACAGAUAAAUGUGCAAAAGGCUGGGGCCUCUUUGGUUCUCCAAGCAGAAGGGAGGGCCUCUCCAACCCCCUUCAUUCACCACGAGACAGCACUACAACACACUCACACGUGCACAUGCGCUCACACACACAUGCUUGCACACACACGCCAUCCUCGCACACACUUGUCACCACGGAUCCCUCUGGGGUGGGGGUGCCUGCACUCUGUUUGUUCAUACAUUCCCUCAGGCCCUCUCUGCAGAGACCUGGCCAGCUGCCGUGGCAGGCCUGAGAGAGUGGCUCCCUCCAACCCUGGCAGCUUUGAACAAAUGCUUUACAGCUCCUAUAAAAACACAUUCAGAGCAUACGCUUCAUCACUAAAAUAAUCCAUAUGAGCCAGCGGCUUUUCUAUAUGAUCACCUGGAUGUGUAGCAGCCAGGGAUCUCUAUGGAGGUCUUCCGUGUGUGUGUGUGUGAUGAAGAAAGAACAUGUAUGUGUGUAUGUGCACGCGCCCGCACAGGUGUAUGUGUGCAGAUGAGAAGGUUCACAUUUUCCAGCGUAGCUGUGGUGCAGUCAGUGUGGCUGCCGCCGCUGUGUGUUCGUGUGCGCCAGUGGCCGCCCUGAUCUUUGAUAUAGGAGUGGGCUUGCGUGCACUGCAUACACACACACCGCUGAGACACGUGUUGACAGGAGAACCCUGGAGGCCCAUACGUAGUCCUGAGAUACAGAUAUGACACGGACACCUGGCAGAGCUACAGCCCCUUCCCUCCUAACGGAGGUCCUGGUGCCAGUGUGGGUUGGGCAGAGCUACAGCCCCUUCCCUCCUAACAGAGGUCCUGGUGCCAGUGUGGGUUGGGCAGAGCUACAGCCCCUUCCCUCCUAACGGAGGUCCUGGUGCCAGUGUGGGUUGGGCAGAGCUACAGCCCCUUCCCUCCUAACGGAGGUCCUGGUGCCAGUGUGGGUUGGGCAGAGCUACAGCCCCUUCCCUCCUAACGGAGGUCCUGGUGCCAGUGUGGGUUGGGCAGAGCUACAGCCCCUUCCCUCCUAACGGAGGUCCUGGUGCCAGUGUGGGUUGGGCAGAGCUACAGCCCCUUCCCUCCUAACGGAGGUCCUGGUGCCAGUGUGGGUUGGGCAGAGCUACAGCCCCUUCCCUCCUAACGGAGGUCCUGGUGCCAGUGUGGGUUGGGCAGAGCUACAGCCCCUUCCCUCCUAACGGAGGUCCUGGUGCCAGUGUGGGUUGGGCAGAGCUACAGCCCCUUCCCUCCUAACGGAGGUCCUGGUGCCAGUGUGGGUUGGGCAGAGCUACAGCCCCUUCCCUCCUAACGGAGGUCCUGGUGCCAGUGUGGGUUGGGCAGAGCUACAGCCCCUUCCCUCCUAACGGAGGUCCUGGUGCCAGUGUGGGUUGGGCAGAGCUACAGCCCCUUCCCUCCUAACGGAGGUCCUGGUGCCAGUGUGGGUUGGGCAGAGCUACAGCCCCUUCCCUCCUAACGGAGGUCCUGGUGCCAGUGUGGGUUGGGCAGAGCUACAGCCCCUUCCCUCCUAACGGAGGUCCUGGUGCCAGUGUGGGUUGGGCAGAGCUACAGCCCCUUCCCUCCUAACGGAGGUCCUGGUGCCAGUGUGGGUUGGGCAGAGCUACAGCCCCUUCCCUCCUAACGGAGGUCCUGGUGCCAGUGUGGGUUGGGCAGAGCUACAGCCCCUUCCCUCCUAACGGAGGUCCUGGUGCCAGUGUGGGUUGGGCAGAGCUACAGCCCCUUCCCUCCUAACGGAGGUCCUGGUGCCAGUGACGGUUGGGCAGAGCUCUCAGCAGGAGUAGGGUCUCAUCCAACCAGUCUCUCUGGGGCAACAGGCCCAGAGCUGUAGAGAUGCAUCUACUAUAACACUGCCUUCUGUUCUAUUUUCCUAAAUGUGCAGAUAGUGGAUACUCA